UGACCCAGAGGUUCUAGGUCAAAGCCUUGGUCCUUAAGAGAGAGGCUGUGAGCAAGUCCUUCAAGCUCUGCUUGUUGCAUGAUGGAGUAACAGCAGCACUGUCGAUCCAAAGGCCUGGAGGUGCCCUGCUGGUCUGAGGACGUGGAGGUGAAUCCAGGACACUCUGCACACUCCAGAGACAGAGGCAGAAGAAGGCACUCAGGUGCUGGGUGUUUCAAUGAUUCCUAAACAAGGGCCCACUUGCUGGCAAGAGAUCUGGAUGGUCCUGUACAGGCUAUUUGCAAGGCAGGUCCUACAGGCAGAAGAGACGCUGAGAAAGAAAGCACGGGCAACCUGAGGGCCACGGGAACCACUAGGCUUUGUGUCGCCCCUAACCCGUGCUGGAGAUGGUGAACACUCAGAGCGCACGGCCACGCCCACAGCACUGAGCACCAACGAGACUGCCAAAACUCCCUUUAGAAGUUCCUGGAGGCACCCAGAUGCAGUAUCACACUGGCUGAGAACAAUGGCAGACCUGGGGACUGUGUCAUUGUGGACUGCUGGUUCUGCACUGUUGAUUGAGCUUGACAAGGUUUCCCGCUCCAGUAACUGACCAGUGCCAGCAAACAGCUGGCGUGUCCAGCCUUUGUUUUCAGGCCUUUUAAUUGGGCUGUAUGAUUCUUGGAAUAAAUGGAAUUGAUGAGU